CAGUAGCCGCGGUAAUACGUAGGGUGCGAGCGUUAAUCGGAAUUACUGGGCGUAAAGCGUGCGCAGGCGGUCUUGUAAGACAGGCGUGAAAUCCCCGGGCUCAACCUGGGAAUGGCGCUUGUGACUGCAAAGCUAGAGUGCGGCAGAGGGGGAUGGAAUUCCGCGUGUAGCAGUGAAAUGCGUAGAUAUGCGGAGGAACACCGAUGGCGAAGGCAAUCCCCUGGGCCUGCACUGACGCUCAUGCACGAAAGCGUGGGUAGCAAACAGGAUUAGAUACCCCGUAGUCCCUGUCUCUUAUACC
rnacentral:rRNA from 1 species